CGCUGUUCCUGUGAAUCGCCUUGUGAGCCCAUACUCACCGAAGGCUGCGAGUAACGGCAACCACAACGAGGAUUAACCUUACCACGCCAUGUGCCACUGCCGCUGAUGUGCAAAGGACGCAGGUGCUGCCAAGCACCCCCUGCUUGAUUGUACAAGGUGACCUGAUGAAGCCAAGGGCGUGGAUGCUGUCCAUUGAGGAACAAGUAGUGAUGGGACCACACAGCAACAUCUUGAGCGGGUUGGCUGCACUUUUUGCCAGCUUCUACAAUCUUAAUCUCCAGUACCCUGAGAAAAGUUCA